rnacentral:rRNA from 1 species
GACGUAGGGGGCGAGCGUUGUCCGGAUUUAUUGGGCGUAAAGCGCGCGUAGGCGGCCCGGAAAGUCGGAUGUGAAAGCCCUCGGCUUAACUGAGGAAGUGCAUCCGAAACUGAGCAGCUAGAGUACGAAAGAGGGUCGCGGAAUUCCCGGUGUAGAGGUGAAAUGCGCAGAUAUCGGGAGGAAUACCAGUGGCGAAGGCGGGUCUCUGGACAGUUCCUGACGCUGAGGCACGAAGGCCAGGGGAGCAAACGGG